GUUAGAAGGCUACUCCAAUUAAUCCUGUUGUUUAAUUUAGGCUUCCCGGGAAGCAGCCUCUGAGAUUAGUGUGAGAGGUUUAUUAGUUCUUUUGAAACUGACAACUGUGGAAGGGAAGGGAAGAAAGCAGGAUUGGACAAUGGCAAGGGUUGUGUUGUCAUGUAAUGUCCGCAAAUUCUCAGCCAACCCAGAAGGGGAUGGCCACUCAGACUUGUCCUGCCUUAAGGAGGAACUCACUUUGUUUUCUUUGUUGUCAUUGGCAAUCACGACUCAUGACACUUCUGCAGAUUUUGGUGGUAAAUGAGACCCUUGAAGUAUGAAGAGACCUCCUGACAACCAUCCACAUCUUCUUCA
rnacentral:lncRNA from 1 species